GUAGAACCUUUUGCCUUUCAGGUAGAAAUUGCUCAACUCUUGUUCUUGUUCCUAUUUGAACAAGGAAAAUUUUCUUCACAUAUCUUGGAUGAGAUUCACUAUGAGAUGCUGACAGACCCUUCCAAGUCAGAAAGCAAUAAAUAACGAAUAAUUGACAGUAUGCUCAAAGCCUCAAGACUGCAUCUUGACUUUGGUAUACACAAGCAUUGGCAUGACCAAAGUUGACCUUGUAGAUAAUUCUGGAACCCUUGCUAAGUCUGACACAAAAAUUUUCAUUAAUGCCCUUCAGUCUGGUGCAGAUAUCUCCAGGACUGGAUAUAUCAAACACCUCUAGUUUGGUGUUAGAGUUUAAUCUGUUAUCUGGGAACAAAAACCAUGUUUGUUAUAAAAACAAUGAUCAUGAGCAGAAGAUUCCUGGGAAUCUUGUGCUGGUGAAUCUUUCACUGUACAAGUAGACCAUCAUAAGCAUAUUGGCCAGGAUAUCAAAGUGAUUCUUCUUCAACUGAAAGAAGACUGGGCUGAAUAUUAAGUGGAGAGGAAGGUUAAUGAAUAUGUGAAGGACUUACAGCUCAUGGGCUAUUCUCUUACUCUAUAUUUGGAGACAUAAUGAAAUAAAGAGAUCAGUGAUGAUAAGGAAGAUGAAAAGAAAGUAGGAGAUGAAAAAGAUGAAGGUGAGAAGCCUAAGAUUGAAGAUACAUGAUCAGAUGAGAAUGGUGAUACUGGGAAAAAGAAGAAAAAGAAGGCAAAAAAGACUGAGGAGAGAUACAUAGGUCAAGAAGAACUGAACAAGGCCAAGACCAUUUGUACCAGAAAACUCUAAUGACAUCAUUCAGGAGGAAUAUAGUGGAUCUUGUAAGAGCCUCACCAGUGGAAGAAAACACUUGGAAAUCAAGCCUUCUCUGUAGAAGGUCAAUUGGAAGUCAGGGCACUGUUUUUCAUCCCUUGACAAACUUACAUUGACCUUUCUGAAAAAGGGGAAGAAUAAAGAUAUCAAACUCUGUGUCUAUCAUAUGUUUAUCAUGGACUGUUGUGAUAAGUUAUAACCAGACUAUUGCAACUUUAUUCAAAUAUCUCAACAGAAAAAAAUCUUGAAAGGCACCCUCAGGAACAUUGUGAAGAAGUACCUGGAGCUCUUCUCUGAGCUAGCAAAAGACAAAGAGAACUAAAAGAAAUUCUAUGCAAUAUUUUAUAAAAAUCUAAAGCUUGGAAUUUAUGAAGAUUUCAUUAAAUGGUGAUAUUUCUCUGAGAUGCUGGUCUACUAUAAAUCUCAGUUUGGAAAUGAGAUGGCUUCUACCUCAGAGUAUGUAUCUUACACGAAGGAGACACAGAAGUCCAUCUACUACAUCACUGGUGAGUGCAAAGAAAAGGUAGACAACUCUGCCUUCAUGGAGUAUGUGCAGAGAUGAGGCUUUGAGGUGGUAUAUAUGACUAAGAAUAUUGACAAGUUUGGUGUAUAUGAAUAAGCUUAUUGACAAGUAGUUUGGUGGGAAUAGCCUGGUCUCUAUUAGCAAAGAGGGUCUGGUACUAUCAGAAGAGGAGGAGGAGGAGGAGAGGAAUAAGAAAUUGAGAAGAGCAAGGGAAAUGUUGAGAAUUUCUGUUAUUUCAUAAAGAGAUCUUUGGAUAAGAAGUUUGAGAAAGUGAUAGUUUCUAAUAGGCUUAUUUGUUGAACCAGAUGAAUUGUGACAAGAACCUUUGCCUGAACAGCCAAAUUGGAGCAGGUCAUGAAGGCUCAGGCAUGUGGAGACAACUCUACAAUGAUCUAUAUGAUGGCCUAAAAGAAUAUAGAGUUUAAUGUGAAAAAAACAAGAAGACUGUCAAGGACUUGGUGUUGCUGCAGGGAUUUGCUCUUGAGGAUGCUCAGGCCCCCUUCACCUAUAUCUAGAGUCUGUGAUUUGAUCUAUAAUUUGAUCUAUGAUUAAACUAGGCCUAGGUACUGGUGAAGAUGGUGUGACAGUGGAAGAGUUGAGUAUUGCUGAUUCCCCGGAAUGAGGGUUAUAAAGAUACAUCUCACAUGGAAGAUUAG
rnacentral:lncRNA from 1 species